GGGGAUGUAGCUCAGUGGUAGAGCGCAUGCUUUGCAUGUAUGAGGCCCUGAGUUCAAUCCCCAGCAUCUCCA
rnacentral:tRNA from 1 species